rnacentral:rRNA from 1 species
UACAGGGGGUGCAAGCGUUAAUCGGAAUUACUGGGCGUAAAGCGUGCGCAGACGGUUGCGUGAGUCAGAUGUGAAAGCCCCGGGCUCAACCUGGGAAUUGCAUUUGAGACUGCGUAGCUAGGGUGCGGAAGAGGGAAGCGGAAUUUCCGGUGUAGCGGUGAAAUGCGUAGAUAUCGGAAGGAACACCAGUGGCGAAAGCGGCUUCCUGGUCCAGCACCGACGUUCAGGCACGAAAGCGUGGGGAGCAAACAGG